ensembl:lncRNA LINC02244 long intergenic non-protein coding RNA 2244
GAGCUGUUAGUACUGCUUUCAUCUGUUUUACAGCCACAGCGACAGCAGUUCCCUGGCUUCUGGAAGGAGUGUCGGUCUAUCCAAAAAAUGUACUAACAGAUAUGUAAAGUCUGUCAUCCAUUUGCAGCAAAUUUUGCCUACGGUAUGAAAUAGGAGUUCAAUUUGACAUUGAAUAUUGAUAUCUUAGCAAUAUUAUCUCCCAAUCUGUGAACACGAAAUUUCUUUAUAUUUAUUCAAAUUAUCUUUGGUUUUUAAUGAUGUUAAAUCCAAGUAUUCUUUGUGAUGCUGUUGUAAAUGGAAUUUUUUGUGUUGUUCAUUGCUAA